CAGCCCUCAGCCUCUGCAGGCAAGGAAACACCUGGGAAAGCUGGUCCAUGUUUAGAGGCACAAACAGGAAAAUGGUGUGAGCAACAUGUGCAUGAACUCUCCCCAGAAAUUCCAGUAAUGGGACUCAAACAAAAGGAAAGAGUGCCAGGCCCAUUGCUUCCUAUGAGGAUACGUCACCCUGGUUAAUCUACAACAUCCCUCAUUAUGUCUGCACACACAACGAGGGGUUUACGUGAUGCUCUACGUGUCCUUCUCCUCUAACAUCAACUCUGAAGCACCAGCACUUCCACCAGCACCAGCCACACCCUGGACUGAUGCCACCACCAAGGCUCUGUGAGAAACGGGAGCCUUGGCUUGCGGCAGCUCCCACUUCAGUCACAAUCUAAAUAGGGGCUAAAAUAAACAGGUUAUGGCUUCUA